rnacentral:tRNA from 1 species
UCCCAUCUGGCUCAGAAGGUAAAGAAUCUGUCUGCAAUGCAGAAGACCUUGGUUCAGUCCCUGGGUUGGGAA